rnacentral:rRNA from 1 species
UACGUAGGUGGCAAGCGUUGUCCGGAUUUACUGGGCGUAAAGGGCGCGUAGGCGGCCACUGCAAGUCAGUUGUGAAAUCUCCGGGCUUAACCCGGAAAGGUCAACUGAUACUGCAGGGCUAGAGUGCAGAAGGGGCAACUGGAAUUCUCGGUGUAGCGGUGAAAUGCGUAGAUAUCGAGAGGAACACCUGCGGCGAAGGCGGGUUGCUGGGCUGACACUGACGCUGAUGUGCGAAAGCCAGGGGAGCGAACGGG